rnacentral:rRNA from 1 species
UACGAAGGGGGCUAGCGUUGCUCGGAAUCACUGGGCGUAAAGCGCACGUAGGCGGAUCUUUAAGUCAGGGGUGAAAUCCUGGAGCUCAACUCCAGAACUGCCUCUGAUACUGGGGAUCUUGAGUCCGGAAGAGGUAAGUGGAACUGCGAGUGUAGAGGUGAAAUUCGUAGAUAUUCGCAAGAACACCAGUGGCGAAGGCGGCUUACUGGUCCUUGACUGACGCUGAGGCGCGAGAGCGUGGGGAGCAAACAGG